rnacentral:rRNA from 1 species
AGUGAACGCUGGCGGCGUGCUUAACACAUGCAAGUCGAACGAGAACGGAAUAUAGCUUGCUAUAUUUGUCAGCUAAGUGGCGCACGGGUGAGUAAUGUAUAGAUAACCUGCCCUUAAGAAAGGAAUAACAGUUGGAAACGACUGCUAAUGCCCUAUAUGCCUUUAAUACAUAAGUAUGCAAGGGAAACGCUUUAGUGCUUAAGGAUGGGUCUGUAUGGUAUCAGCUUGUUGGUGAGGUAAUGGCUCACCAAGGCUAUGACGCCUAACUGGUUUGAGAGGAAGAUCAGUCACACUGGAACUGAGACACGGUCCAGACGCCUACGGGAGGCAGCAGUGGGGAAUAUUGCACAAUGGACGAAAGUCUGAUGCAGCAACGCCGCGUGGAGGAUGACACAUUUCGGUGCGUAAACUCCUUUUAUAUAGGAAGAUAAUGACGGUACUAUAUGAAUAAGCACCGGCUAACUCCGUGCCAGCAGCCGCCGUAA